AGAGUUUGAUCCUGGCUCAGGACGAACGCUGGCGGCGUGCCUAACACAUGCAAGUCGAACGGGGUGAUUUCCUUUUUGGGGAUCGCCUAGUGGCGAACGGGUGAGUAACGCGUGAGGAACCUACCUUUCAGAGGGGGACAACAGUUGGAAACGGCUGCUAAUACCGCAUGACACUUUAGUACCGCAUGGUACAGAAGUCAAAGAUUUAUCGCUGGAAGAUGGCCUCGCGUCUGAUUAGCUAGUUGGCGGGGUAACGGCCCACCAAGGCGACGAUCAGUAGCCGGUCUGAGAGGAUGAACGGCCACAUUGGGACUGAGAUACGGCCCAGACUCCUACGGGAGGCAGCAGUGGGGAAUAUUGGGCAAUGGGCGAAAGCCUGACCCAGCAACGCCGCGUGAAGGAAGAAGGCCUUCGGGUUGUAAACUUCUUUUACCAGGGACGAAGGACGUGACGGUACCUGGAGAAAAAGCAACGGCUAACUACGUGCCAGCAGCCGCGGUAAUACGUAGGUUGCAAGCGUUGUCCGGAAUUACUGGGUGUAAAGGGCGUGUAGGCGGAGGAGCAAGUCAGAUGUGAAAUACCGGGGCUCAACCCUGGAACUGCAUUUGAAACUGUUUCCCUUGAGUAUCGGAGAGGCAAGCGGAAUUCCUAGUGUAGCGGUGAAAUGCGUAGAUAUUAGGAGGAACACCAGUGGCGAAGGCGGCUUGCUGGACGACAACUGACGCUGAGGCGCGAAAGCGUGGGGAGCAAACAGGAUUAGAUACCCUGGUAGUCCACGCUGUAAACGAUGAAUACUAGGU
rnacentral:rRNA from 1 species